CCUACGGGGAGCUGCAGUGGGGAAUAUUGGACAAUGGGCGAAAGCCUGAUCCAGCCAUGCCGCGUGUGUGAAGAAGGCCUUCGGGUUGUAAAGCACUUUCAGUGGGGAAGAAAGCCUUGGGGCUAAUACCCUCGAGGAAGGACAUCACCCACAGAAGAAGCACCGGCUAACUCCGUGCCAGCAGCCGCGGUAAUACGGAGGGUGCGAGCGUUAAUCGGAAUUACUGGGCGUAAAGCGCGCGUAGGCGGUCUGAUAAGCCGGUUGUGAAAGCCCCGGGCUCAACCUGGGAACGGCAUCCGGAACUGUCAGGCUAGAGUGCAGGAGAGGAAGGUAGAAUUCCCGGUGUAGCGGUGAAAUGCGUAGAGAUCGGGAGGAAUACCAGUGGCGAAGGCGGCCUUCUGGACUGACACUGACGCUGAGGUGCGAAAGCGUGGGUAGCAAACAGGAUUAGAUACCCCUGUAGUC
rnacentral:rRNA from 1 species